rnacentral:rRNA from 1 species
UACGGGGGGGGGCAAGCGUUGUUCGGAAUUACUGGGCGUAAAGGGCUCGUAGGCGGCCAACUAAGUCGGAUGUGAAAUCCCCAGGCUCAACUUGGGAACUGCAUCCGAUACUGGAUGGCUUGAAUCCGGGAGAGGGAUGCAGAAUUCCAGGUGUAGCGGUGAAAUGCGUAGAUAUCUGGAGGAAUACCGGUGGCGAAGGCGGCAUCCUGGACCGGCAUUGACGCUGAUGAGCGAAAGCUAGGGGAGCAAACAGGG